rnacentral:rRNA from 1 species
AACGAACGCUGGCGGCGUGGAUAAGACAUGCAAGUCGAACGGAAUAUACUGGUAGCAAUAUUGGUAUGUUCAGUGGCGAACGGGUGCGUAACACGUGGGUAACAUGCCGGGAAGUGGAGAAUAGCCCAGGGAAACUUGGAUUAAUGCUCCAUGUGGUCGCAAGACUAAAGACGGGGUAACCUGUCGCUUCCUGAUUGGCCCGCGGCCUAUCAGCUAGUUGGCGAGGUAACGGCUCACCAAGGCGACGACGGGUAGCUGGUCUGAGAGGAUGACCAGCCACACUGGAACUGAGACACGGUCCAGACACCUACGGGUGGCAGCAGUCGAGAAUCUUUCACAAUGGGGGCAACCCUGAUGGAGCGACGCCGCGUGGAGGAUAAGGUCUUCGGAUUGUAAACUCCUGUCAUGCGAGAGUAAGGCCGACGCGUUAACUGCGCGGAGGAUUGACAGUAUCGCAAGAGGAAGAGACGGCUAACUCUGUGCCAGCCGCCGCCGUAAAA